rnacentral:rRNA from 1 species
CGCGUAGGCGGUCGAUCAAGUCAGGGGUGAAAUCCUGCAGCUUAACUGUAGAAGUGCCUUUGAUACUGGUCGUCUCGAGGGAGGUAGGGGUGUGUGGAACUUCCAGUGGAGCGGUGAAAUGCGUUGAUAUUGGAAGGAACGCCGGAGGCGAAAGCGACGCACUGGACCUCUUCUGACGCUGAGGCGCGAAAGCUAGGGGAGCAAACG